UACGGAGGGUGCAAGCGUUGUCCGGAUUUAUUGGGUUUAAAGGGUGCGUAGGCGGCCCUGUAAGUCAGUGGUGAAAUACUGCAGCUUAACUGUAGCAUUGCCAUUGAUACUGCAGGGCUUGAGUACAGAUGAGGUAGGCGGAAUUGAUGGUGUAGCGGUGAAAUGCAUAGAUACCAUCAAGAACACCGACUGCGAAGGCAGCUUACUAAGCUGUAACUGACGCUGAGGCACGAAAGCGUGGGGAUCGAACAGG
rnacentral:rRNA from 1 species